rnacentral:rRNA from 1 species
UACAGAGGUCUCAAGCGUUGUUCGGAUUCAUUGGGCGUAAAGGGUGUGUAGGUGGCGCCUUAAGUCGGGUGUGAAAUUUCGGAGCUUAACUCCGAAACUGCAUUCGAUACUGCGGUGCUUGAGGACUGGAGAGGAGACUGGAAUUUACGGUGUAGCAGUGAAAUGCGUAGAGAUCGUAAGGAAGACCAGUGACGAAGGCGGGUCUCUGGACAGUUCCUGACACUGAGGCACGAAGGCCAGGGGAGCAAACGGG